GACGAACGCUGGCGGCGUGCUUAACACAUGCAACUCGAACGGAAAGGCCUCUUUCGGGGGGUACUCGAGUGGCGAACGGGUGAGUAACACGUGAGUAACCUGCCCUUGACUUUGGGAUAACUUCAGGAAACUGGGGCUAAUACCGGAUAGGAGCUCCUGCUGCAUGGUGGGGGUUGGAAAGUUUCGGCGGUUGGGGAUGGACUCGCGGCUUAUCAGCUUGUUGGUGGGGUAGUGGCUUACCAAGGCUUUGACGGGUAGCCGGCCUGAGAGGGUGACCGGCCACAUUGGGACUGAGAUACGGCCCAGACUCCUACGGGAGGCAGCAGUGGGGAAUAUUGCACAAUGGGUGGAAGCCUGAUGCAGCAACGCCGUGUGCGGGAUGACGGCCUUCGGGUUGUAAACCGCUUUCGCUCAUGACGAAGCUUUGUGUGACGGUAGUGGGUAAAGAAGCACCGGCUAACUACGUG
rnacentral:rRNA from 1 species